UACGUAGGGUGCGAGCGUUGUCCGGAAUUAUUGGGCGUAAAGAGCUUGUAGGCGGUUUGUCGCGUCUGCCGUGAAAUCCGGGGCUCAACCCCGGACUUGCGGUGGGUACGGGCAGACUAGAGUGUGGUAGGGGAGACUGGAAUUCCUGGUGUAGCGGUGAAAUGCGCAGAUAUCAGGAGGAACACCGAUGGCGAAGGCAGGUCUCUGGGCCACUACUGACGCUGAGAAGCGAAAGCAUGGGGAGCGAACAGG
rnacentral:rRNA from 1 species